rnacentral:rRNA from 1 species
AGCAGCCGCGGUAAUUCCAGCUCCAAUAGCGUAUAUUAAAGUUGCUGCAGUUAAAAAGCUCGUAGUUGAAUUUCGGGACCAUCAUGUCGGUCGUGCCUCGGUACGUACUGGCAUUGUUGGUUUCUCCCUUCUGACGAACCAUGAUGUCAUUAAUUUGGUGUCAUGGGGAAUCAGGACUGUUACUUUGAAAAAAUUAGAGUGUUUAAAGCAGGCUCACGCUUGAAUACAUUAGCAUGGAAUAAUGAAAUAGGACGUUUGAUUCUAUUUUGUUGGUUUCUAGGAUCGACGUAAUGAUUAAUAGGGAUAGUUGGGGGCAUUAGUAUUCAAUUGUCAGAGGUGAAAUUCUUGGAUUUAUUGAAGACUAACUACUGCGAAAGCAUUUGCCAAGGAUGUUUUCAUUAAUCAAGAACGAAAGUUAGGGGAUCGAAGACGAUCAGAUACCGUCGUAGU